rnacentral:rRNA from 1 species
CCCGCUGAACUUAAGCAUAUCAAUAAGCGGAGGAAAAGAAACUAACAAGGAUUCCCCCAGUAACUGCGAGUGAAGAGGGAAAAGCUCAAAUUUGUAAUCUGGCAGUCUCUGGCUGUCCGAGUUGUAAAUUAGAGAAUCGCUAUCCGCGCUGGACUGUGCAUAAGUUCCUUGGAAAAGGGCAUCAUAGAGGGUGACAAUCCCGUCUUUGGCACAGACUCCCAGGGCUUUUGUGAAGCGCUCUCGAUGAGUCGAGUUGUUUGGGAAUGCAGCUCUAAAUGGGUGGUAAAUUCCAUCUAAAGCUAAAUAUUGGCGAGAAACCGAUAGCGCACAAGUACCGUGAGGGAAAGAUGAAAAGAACUUUGAAAAGAGAGUUAAACAGUACGUGAAAUUGUUGAAAGGGAAACGCUUGAAGUCAGUCACAUCCUUCAGAAAUCAACCUGACCGAAUGGUCUUGUGUACUUUCUGUUUGGAUGGGUCAGCAUCAAUUUUGACCAUUGGAAAAAGAUUCAAGGAAAGUGGCAUCUCUGGAUGUGUUAUAACCUUGGGUCAUACAAUGGUUGAGAUUGAGGAAAGCAGCACUUUGGUGUUUAGGAUGCUGGCAUAAUGGCUUUAAUCGACCCGUCUUGAAACACGG